AAUACCACAAAGAAGAAAGUGUGGUCGAAUCAACAUUGCCAGAAUACCUGAACUUUGUGGACUGUAUUCUGCCUUGGUUAGACCACACCUGGACUACUGUGUCCGGUUCUGAGCACCACAAUUUAGGAAGGUUGUUGACAAGCUGGAAUGUGUGCAGAGGAGGGUAACUAAGAUGAUCAAGGGUCUAGAAGCCAAGUAUUAUGAAAAAAUGGUUGAAGGAGCUGGGUAUGUUUAGCCUUGAAAAGAGGAGUUUGAGAGGAGAUUUGAUAGCCAUCUUCACAUAUCUCAAGGGUUGCCACAUGGAAGAUGGAGCAAACUUGAUUUCUCCUGCUCUGGAGGGUAGGGCUCAUAGCAAUAGCUUCAAUUUACAAGAAAGGAGAUGGCUGUCAAGCAAUAGGUUAAGUAAACAGAUAUGCAAUUGGCUAGUGUUCUCAUAGUUUGAAAAUAUUCUUAAAUAAAGAAUGAUUAGGAGUUGUGUCUAACAUUAGUCAUACUUUGGUCCAUUAAUUUAAAUGGGCCUACUCUAAGUAGAACUUGGCUACAACCCUGUGGCUGCAAUCCUGUAUACACCUAUCUUACUUUAAGAUAAGUCCAACUGGAGCUUACUUCUGAGUAGACAUGUAUAGAAUCCCACUGUACCUGCUCAAAUGUUUGAAAUUCCUGCUUUGAAUUCCAAGUUUAAUUUAAUGGGCACCCAUGGUUAAUGCUGCAAAUGUGUAUUAAACGUGAAGAAUAGCCAUGCAUGAUUAAAAAAAAUUAUUCAUGUCUUCUCAUUUUACAUGUAAAUAAAAUAUAUUUUCCUCUAAUUUAACAGGGCAUUGCUGCUGCUUCUUUUUUAAAAAAACAACAACAACAUUCUGCAGUGCAGGUAAGAUUAAGAUAUCAUUUAUAGUGGAGUGAAACUGGAAUGAUUUUUUUAUUUAAGAAAGUGCAAGUCUCCAUAAUUAAAAUCAUAUUGCUAAUUACUCUAGUGCUCAGAAAAAUGCUGUUAUUGUUUUCAAUUAGUGGUGAUGAAACUAGCUAGAAGAAUUUAUAAAGGCAGAAGCUGUAAAACGGCUGUAUUUUGUCUAAGGGAUUCUUUGUAAUAAAUGGCUAGCUAGCCAAAAUUAAAUAGAUAUGACUGGCUCUUCUUAGGGCAAGAAAGGAUUUUAUAGGACAUGAUGCCUCAAAGUGCCAACAUUCAUAUUCCACAGCAAUAUCAGCAGAUUGAAGCCAGGGCAUCAUUCCAGAAAUUAUAACGGUUACUCUGGAAAGAGGUAGCAUUCACUCUCAUAGCAAAACUUGUAGACUAAUAUAUCUUUGUGGGAAAGGGCCCCAAGUGGGCAUUUCCAUAAGCAAAGCACCAGUGGUAUUUGAUUCACAGUAUCUAUUUUCAUACAAAUAUCUACCACCCAUCUCUAUUUAUGCCAUUUUCUGAGAUAGAUAUGCGAGCGAGCACAGUGACACAAAAAUUAUUACCAUCGUAACAAAAAUAUUAUGGUAAUAUAAGCAGUAAUGGAGAUGAAGAUUUGUUUGCUGCAUGAGCAGAGAAGGCAUCACAAGUUGCUAAUUGAUACUAGAAUAGAAUGACUUUAUUAGUUUGCUUGGUUUCUUGACAGGCAGUUCUUUAGGUAUGAAUCUGCAAGCUCAUAAGCCACCGGUAAUAUUCAAUUUUUUUUUGUCUCCAUUGGCUGGAAGGCACAAACUCAUGCAGAAUAUCUAUCUAUAUAGCUCCCAUUCAUUUGGCUCAGUGAAAGAUAAAUGAAUGGAAUGCAGCACAAAACCUAAACUUACCUGUUAAACAUGAAGGUUUUGAGCAAAUUUCUUUUCACUGAGCCCUGUGAAAUAAAACGUCUUAGUUAUUCUCUUUAUAUCAGUGCCACAUCACGCGUAUUGUGAUCCCAACAGCUCAGAGGAAAAUAACUGACAUCUGUGGCAAGAUGAUAUCUGUCAGACUGUUUUAUGAAGUAGGGGGUCAGACCCUUUCUGUUAGAUCAGCUGAUAAGACAGCUUUAGUAAUCUACUUAUCCGAUAAUAUCUAUAAAGGGAGUGUGAGUAGUUAAGGAAAGGAAACAUAAGACAUUUCAAAAAACUAAGUUAUUGCCCUGUUUCCUCCAAUGCCUUCUAUAUUUAUAGAAAGAGAAAGUAUUAACUUAUCUUGAUCAAACUACACACUAUGCCAUUUGUGGUGCAAUUGUCAUUAGUACCAUGCCAUACAGAGUGCAGUUCAACACUUACCACCAUCUGCCUCAAAUCAAUUAUAAUAAAUCAACCAAUAGUGUUUCACUCAUGGCAUAAUUGCAGUGGGCCAAUUAUAAAACAAAAGUUUGAGGCAGAAAGUUGAUAAGCACUAUUCAUUACCCAGCAUUAACUGUCACAUUUCCCCCUACUUAAGCAGGUCUUCUAAAUAAAUAAGUGCAGACUUACAGACACCAUCAAUAUCUUGAAUAAGGUACAGGAAACAGCAGAAAUUAUAAUAAAGUUAAGAUAUAUAUGUACAUGCAUCUGAUCUAGCUAGAAACCAUUCCCUUUGCAAUACAACACUUUGGAUUCCAUGAGAAAUUUCUCAGAUAUACAACUCUACAGUUCUUCUCCAACUUGGGUUUUAAUACAUUUUCCCUAGGGUUUCUUGCUCCACUCUAGAAAAAUACACUACACCUCCAUUCAGUAGCAGAUGGCCAGGGAAGGUGGGGUGUCGGCAAACACCUAAUUUCCAGUUAUCCAUGUCACUACUGCAUAGUGGAAUGGAGAGAGUGAGGGUCAAGGAACAGCAUUGUGCAUACAUGUCAGAAGGAGUGCUGGGUCAGUUGUGCCAGUGUGUUGGCACCACUCCAAUCUCAGCACUGGCCUGCAGCAUUCUGCACUGGCCAUAAGAGAUGCUCAACAUGGAGAACUUACGGUAGUGUAAACAUGAGGUUACCAGCACAUGUGACCCAGUGGCAAAUCAAUCCUUCUCCAGGUGAGGGCACAGUUGAUGUAUUAGCUUAAGUAGGUGAUAAGGGCUGUUUACCAUAGAGGUCACCUGGGCUUCUAUGGACAAAGAUGGUGCAAAUUGCACUCCUAAACUGCAUACCUGCUGCUUCAAGAGGGAAUCCAAAUCCAAAUUUGUUGAUUCUGGGAACAACUCAGCCACAAUGUCACUGUCCUAGCAGGAUUCAUCUUCAGUCUGGGGUCUCUCAGUCAGUUCUUAAUUCUUCUAAGGUAAGAAAGAGCAAAAGACAAGCCCCCCCAACCCCAAUAUAAUUAAUAUGGAUUUUGGAGAUUUACCGUAUUUUUCGCCCUAUAGGAUGCACUUUUUCCCCUCCAAAAAUGAAGGGGAAAUGUGUGUGCGUCCUAUGGGGUGAAUGCAGGCUUUCACUGAAGCCUGGAGAGAGAGAGGGGUCAGUGCGCACAGACCCCUCUCUAUCUCCAGGCUUCGCGGACCUCUCCGCAAGCAGCGGGAGCCUGGCUCCAGGCUCCCGCUGCUUGCAGAGAGUUGCCUGCAUGCUGAAGCCUGCCCGCGCUGAGCUCAGUGCGUCUAUGCUUCGCGCACCUCUCAGCAAGCAGUGGGAGCCAGCACUGGGCUCCCGCUGCUUGCGGAGAGUUGCCUGCAUGCUGAAGCCUGCGCGCGCUGAGCUCAGCGCGUUGAGGCUUCGUGGACCUCUCCGCAAGCAGCGGGAGCCCGGCGCUGGGCUCCCGCUGCUUGCGGAGAGUUGCCUGCAUGCUGAAGCCUGCGCGCGCUGAGCUCAGCGCGUCCAGGCUUCGCGCACUUCUCAGCAAGUAGCGGGAGCCAGCACUGGGCUCCCAUGGCUUGCAGAGAGCUGCCUGUUUGGGGGCUGGGGUCAGGGGAAGCUCGGGCAUCCCCCGCCCCAGCCCCACGCCUGGGGGAAAAAAUAAUUCCCCCCCCUUUAUUUCCCCGCCAAAAAACUAGGUGCGCCUUAUGGGACGGUGCGUCCUAUAGGGCGAAAAAUACGGUAAUUAAACUAAUAAAGGAUAUGGAUUGUGGAGAAAAGUGACUUCUUAUUACUUUAUCCUCAAAAGCCAUACCUGUUUGUCUAUAUUUUGACAGGCUUAAUCCACUCUGGAGGGGCCUCUGUGCCUACAAAUUUCACCUGCUUCUGUCAAAAGGAAAGAAAGUCAUAGCCACUUUUAUUUUGUGUAAGGGUAAAUGGAGGACUCAGUGCUUCAUUUUACACAAAAUUGAUCAGAACCUUAAUCAGAGACAGAAACAGAAACAGACACAGUACAGAGCGACUCAGCAAUAAAAAAGCACAUAUACAUGUACUGUUAAGCAAAAAUAGGUAUAUGAACUCACAUUUCUUUGUAAUUCUUUUGUAUAUGCAGAGCAAAGUGCAAGACAAGCAAAUGUACUUCAGUUGUUUUCUUUCCACAAUGUACAGCUUGCUGGUAUACAGAUAUACUAACAAAAAUCUGUGACUUUAUAGAAAAUGGCUGUGUUGGGAGCAGAAACUACUAUAUACAAGAGACAAAGGGAAAGAAAGGCUCAGAAUAGAUCAUGUAUCUUGUUUUCCUUGAAACAGGGUCUGUUUAUAAAAAAAUAAUAAUCCAAGAGUACAGCAGCCCAGCAUGGAAGGAGCUAAUUUAGUUGAUGGCUGUGGAUGAGUUUCCGACAUGCUGGCUGGUAGAGUAUGUGAGCCACAGGUGGUUCAAAUCACAGAGACUGCUCCAUGCAAGGACUGAGGCAUUUUCUCACAUGGUUUACUCAUCCCCACUAAUAACAUGGAGAGAGCGGUGAUGUUUCUUUGGGCUAAUCAAUCAACCUCUGCCAUCCCUAGCAGCCCUUCUUUCUUCAAAUGUAAUAUGUGACAAGAAAGAAAGAAAGAAAGAUCUGAAGAUAAAAAGAUUCAAAAUACCAACAUAAAUUUAAAAUAAUUGAAUACUUCCUAAACAUCAGUUAGAACUUUAUGACAGUAAGAGCUAUUUGACAGUGAAACUGACUCCCACAAGAGGUGGUGGACUCUCCUUCACUGGAGGUUUUUAAGCAGAGGAUGAAUGGCCAUCCAUCAUAGAUUCUUUAGUUCACAUUCCUGCAUUUCAGCGGGUUGGACUGGAUGAACCUUCCAGUUCUAUGAUUCGCUGAUUCCUUGACCCCAGAUUUUCAGAUAUUGGAAGUCCCCAUUAGCCUGCUUCCUCUCUUUCCAUGCCACCUGCUAACCCUGAUUUUAAUUUCUGUUUCUUGUCACAGUCUCUGAUACUGGUCAGUUUCUGAUACUUCCAAUUUCCACUCUUUUUUGUUAAACCCUUCCCUCUCAUUGGAAGUAGGUAUCUGUCCCAAAUCCAAGGCAUUUGGCAGAUGGGGGAUCCAUUAAUCCUAGGCUCAACCCUGUCAUGUAUCAGCCCUGGGGGCUGAGAGGAAUAUAUACCCAAUGCAUAAGCUGAAACCUUCCUACACCUGAUAUCAAUAAAGCUGUGGGCAAUUUUUAAACCCAGAAUGCUGUCUUGUCCAGUUUGUUCUACCUCACAGGCUAUUGCUCACUCCUUGAGGAGGGGUCACUACAUCGCAAUGUGGAAUUCAAUGUCCUAGUGUGGCCAUAGUGGUGUGUGUGCCAGUGAAGGUAAGAUUCUUAGAGGUGAGAUGCACAUAGCACCAAGCAUUACUUCCUAGAGCAUCCCUUCUUUCAUGGAGGUAGGCACUACCAGAAGAAAGCAAGUUAUAGAAACAUGGAGAGGGGAUACAAACAUUUUUAAAGACAGGUUCCCAGAAUACAACCAGAAUACAAAUCACUCAAGUAUGUAAUUACAGGUGGCAAACUAAAUAACAAAAAUCUACUUAGUUCAGCUGAUUAUCACAAAGACUUAAGCCACCUUCAAGCAUCUAAAACAAACACUUGUUAGCUUGAAAACUGAAGUGGGGGAAUAUGGAUGCAAGCUCCAACAUCUUUGCAUGCACCAGUUCUACUUCAGACUUCCUCACACUGAGAGAUGUUUAAAGGAAGAUUCAAAGCAUGUUAAACAUUAGGAAGAACUUCCUGACAAUAUGAGCAGUUCAAUGUAGAACAUAAUGAUUUUGAAUGUGGUGGACUCCUUUGUUAAAGGUUUUUAAGCAGGGGCUGGGUUGCCACAUAUCAGUGAUCUUGCAGUAAUGAAUUUACUGCAUUAGAAGGAUUGGACGACUGAGUUUUCUUAAACUCUGUGAACAGUUCCCUAACCUUGGGAGCAAAGGAACUGGGUAAUCUGUGAACUGGACAAAGUCAAAUAAAAAUCUGUAAUACAUUUGAACUAAAACUGAGGUAUGGACACUCUCUAUAAUUUAUGUCCUCUCCCAUUAGCCCAUGUGCACUAUUACCAUUCAGAUGUGCUGGGAAACACUUUUGGUCUUUGUGUGACUUGUUCACUGAAUAAUAAGCUGAGCAGCUUGCAAUUGCAGUAGAGCUCUCUGUUCAAACAGCCAAUCAGCUUGCUAUUACUUAUAGCUCUAGACUUUUAAACAGAACUGAGAAAUGGAUUUUUAUUUUGCAAAAUGCCAACCUAUUUCUCAUUAUUGUUUUCCAUUUAAAUAGGUGGCUGUCUUGCUGUUGUUCAUGCUGAUGGGCUUUUGUUAAUCCUUCCCCAUUCCGUG
rnacentral:lncRNA from 1 species